UACGGGGGGGCAAGCGUUGUUCGGAAUUACUGGGCGUAAAGGGCUCGUAGGCGGCCAACUAAGUCAGACGUGAAAUCCCUCGGCUUAACCGGGGAACUGCAUCUGAUACUGGAUGGCUUGAGAUUGGGAGAGGGAUGCGGAAUUCCAGGUGUAGCGGUGUAAUGCGUAGAUAUCUGGAGGAACACCGGUGGCGAAGGCGGCAUCCUGGACCAACACUGACGCUGAGGAGCGAAAGCCAGGGGAGCAAACGGG
rnacentral:rRNA from 1 species